GAUGAAGAACGUAGUGAAAUGCGAUAAGUAAUGUGAAUUGCAGAGUUCAGUGAAUCAUCGAAUCUUUGAACGCACAUUGCGCCCGUUAGUAUUCUGACGGGCAUGCCUGUCCGAGCGUCAUUUCAACCCUCAAGCACGGCUUGGUGUUGGCGGAUUGCGUGCCCUAGCGGCGCUGCACCCGCCCAAAUACAGUGGCGGUCCCGCUGCGGCUCCCUUUGCGUAGUAACUCACCUCGCACUGGACCGGGUGGCGGCUCGCCGUAAAACCCCAACUCACGAAAUGUUGACCUCGGAUCAGGUAGGAAUACCCGCUGAACUUAAGCAUAUCAAUAAGCGGAGGA
rnacentral:misc_RNA from 1 species